UAGACCUAAGGGAAAAUAACCUUAAAACUGUGGAAGAGAUCAUUAGCUUUCAGCAUCUUCAGAAUCUUUCCUGCUUAAAGUUGUGGCACAAUAACAUUGCUUAUAUUCCUGCACAGAUUGGGGCAUUAUCUAACCUAGAGCAGCUCUCUUUGGACCAUAAUAAUAUUGAGAAUCUGCCCUUGCAGCUUUUCCUAUGCACUAAACUACAUUAUUUGGAUCUAAGCUAUAACCACUUGACCUUCAUUCCAGAAGAAAUCCAUAUCUCAGUGCUGUGGCAUAGCUCCAAUAGGUGUGCUGUGGUGCACUGCAGUGAUGUAUUUGCAUAACAUUGUUUGAUAGUGAAAAAUUUUUUUUCGGUUCAAGUGUUUUGUGAUUAAAAUUUUAUGUUUAAUUAAAAUAUUGCAUAAUAUUGAUGGGUUCAAAAACCAUUAAAAUAAUCAAACAAUUA
rnacentral:lncRNA from 1 species